AGUUGAUGAUUUUCUUGUGGAGAAGGAGAGUUUGUCGUUUGUAUCGAAGGGAAAGUGAACGGUCUGACUUCGGGAGUUCCGUUUGUAGAGUUUUGUGAAGAGGAGAGAUGAUCUUGCCUCACCUGAUCCAGAGCUGCAUCAUUGCCGAAGCUUUCCUAGGUCGAGUAUUGCGCUCAUUCCAGAUCCAAUACAUAGUAGCUUGCCAUCCUAGCAGAGUCAGAGAUGUGGCGAUGGAGGAUUUAAGGAGCGAAAUCAUCUGUUCCAGAGACCUUUCCCAGUUGCGAUCCGAACGGAGUCUACAUCUUCCCGCCACAGCAGACCACACAUCAAAGGAGAAGGUGCAGUCCCAAUAGAUAUGAUCUCUUGAUUCAUCUACAGUAUUGCAUAGGAGGCAGAGAGGGGGUACCUGAAGGCCCCAGCCAAUCAACCUAUCACGAGUAGGAAUCCUAUUUUGCACUACCAACCAUGCGUGAAAGCUCUGCCUCGGGAUGCUCCUUGAAGUCCAGAGUACCUUUGCCCAGGGUGCUUCCUCACCGCUUCCUCUCAGUAAUGAAGGAAAGUACCUCAACCUGAUGCUCCGUUCUUGCUGGAGGAAGACGCCAAGCUCCGCUGCAGUAGAGUGGGGCUAAUGUUGCUCUUUUUGGGAUACCAAGUCGUGAUCUCCUGCCCUCCAAGUAGUCCUGAAGAUUCCCAUAGGGGCUCCAAUUAUCUGUCCAGAACCUACAACUCUCUCCAUUCUGAACUCGCAAACGGAUGAAGGGACCCAUACCGAUUCCGGUCUAAAGAAGAGCAACCAUAUCAAGCGAAGGCAACAUGCCUUGUUCCACAUGAGAAGGUCUCUCACACCCAGUCCACCCUCUACCUUAGGUUUUGUCACCGUCGACCAAGCCACUCUUGCAGUGUUAGAUGCUUCCAAGUUCCCUCUCCAUAAGAAGACACUGCACAUAGAAUUUAUUUUCGCUACACACGCCUUUGGGAGGAAAAAAGAAGAACACCAAAAAUUGGAGGAGAACUGAGCUUUGAUUUGAUGCAGUAAAGGUUCGCAGCUAGCAAGAGAUAACUUCUGUGAGUUCAUUGGCACUCCUAGAUAUCUGAAAGGCAA